UACGUAGGGACCAAGCGUUGUUCGGAUUUACUGGGCGUAAAGCGUGCGCAGGCGGUGAUGUAAGACAGAUGUGAAAUCCCCGGGCUCAACCUGGGAACUGCAUUUGUGACUGCAUCGCUGGAGUGCGGCAGAGGGGGAUGGAAUUCCGCGUGUAGCAGUGAAAUGCGUAGAUAUGCGGAGGAACACCGAUGGCGAAGGCAAUCCCCUGGGCCUGCACUGACGCUCAUGCACGAAAGCGUGGGGAGCAAACAGG
rnacentral:rRNA from 1 species